GACGAAGGGGGGCUAGCGUUGUUCGGAAUUACUGGGCGUAAAGCGCGUGUAGGCGGUUAUCCAAGUCGGGUGUGAAGGCCUUGAGCUCAACUCAAGAAAUGCACUCGGUACUGGGUGACUAGAGGACCGGAGAGGAUAGUGGAAGUUCCCAGUGUAGUGGUGAAAUACGUAGAGAUUGGGAAGAACACCAGUGGCGAAGGCGGCUAUCUGGACGGUUUCUGACGCUAAGACGCGAAAGCGUGGGGAGCAACAGG
rnacentral:rRNA from 1 species